rnacentral:rRNA from 1 species
GACGAACGCUGGCGGCGUGCUUAACACAUGCAAGUCGAACGGAAAGGCCCUGCUUUUGUGGGGUGCUCGAGUGGCGAACGGGUGAGUAACACGUGAGUAACCUGCCCUUGACUUUGGGAUAACUUCAGGAAACUGGGGCUAAUACCGGAUAGGAGCUCCUGCUGCAUGGUGGGGGUUGGAACGUUUCGGCGGUUGGGGAUGGACUCGCGGCUUAUCAGCUUGUUGGUGGGGUAGUGGCUUACCAAGGCUUUGACGGGUAGCCGGCCUGAGAGGGUGACCGGCCACAUUGGGACUGAGAUACGGCCCAGACUCCUACGGGAGGCAGCAGUGGGGAAUAUUGCACAAUGGGCGGAAGCCUGAUGCAGCAACGCCGCGUGCGGGAUGACGGCCUUCGGGUUGUAAACCGCUUUCGCCUGAGACGAAGCGUGAGUGACGGUAAUGGGUAAAGAAGCACCGGCUAACUACGUG